AAUGGGGGAAACCCUGAUGCAGCCAUGCCGCGUGUGUGAAGAAGCCUUCGGGUUGUAAAGCACUUUCAGUUGUGAGGAAAAGUUAGUAGUUAAUACCUGCUAGCCGUGACGUUAACAACAGAAGAAGCACCGGCUAACUCCGUGCCAGCAGCCGCGGUAAUACGGAGGUGCGAGCGUUAAUCGGAAUUACUGGGCGUAAAGCGCACGCAGGCGGUUUGUCAAGCUAGAUGUGAAAGCCCCGGGCUUAACCUGGGAAUUGCAUUUAGAACUGUCAGACUAGAGUCAUCUAGAGGGGAGUGGAAUUCCAGGUGUAGCGGUGAAAUGCGUAGAGAUCUGGAGGAACAUCAGUGGCGAAGGCGACUCCCUGGAGAUAGACUGACGCUCAUGUGCGAAAGCGUGGGUAGCGAACAGGAUU
rnacentral:rRNA from 1 species